CUUUUGCCCUCUCCAGAUAAUUCAAUAUCUACAUUUUAUUUUUAAUUACAAAAAAUCGGUUUCACUUUUUCGUUUUUUUCUUCCGAGUUCCGCAAAACUACAAUUAAAAUUGAUUUCCCUUUUGGUUUAGAAUUUUGAUGAAUUGGAGAGUAACUGAUCUGAUUUUUGUCUAAGACUAGAGUCUUUGGGUUACCUAGACACUAUCCCUUAGGGUUUAGAUUCUUUCAAUGAAAGUUUGUUUAAAUGGAUC